AACGAACGCUGGCGGCAUGCCUAACACAUGCAAGUCGAACGAGACCUUCGGGUCUAGUGGCGCACGGGUGCGUAACGCGUGGGAAUCUGCCCUUCGGUUCGGAACAACAGUUAGAAAUGACUGCUAAUACCGGAUAAUGACGUAAGUCCAAAGAUUUAUCGCCGAAGGAUGAGCCCGCGUAAGAUUAGGUAGUUGGUGGGGUAAUGGCCUACCAAGCCGACGAUCUUUAGCUGGUCUGAGAGGAUGAUCAGCCACACUGGGACUGAGACACGGCCCAGACUCCUACGGGAGGCAGCAGUGGGGGAAUAUUGGACAAUGGGCGGAAAGACCUGAUCCAGCAAUGCCGCGUGAGUGAUGAAGGCCUUAGGGUUGUAAGACUC
rnacentral:rRNA from 1 species